AGGCUUUCUCUGUUACUACUUGACCUUGAGGAGUAUUAUUUUGAGCAACACAAAGCCUAUCGGGUGAUCCACAAUAAUGCAGCAGAGAUAAGCAGUCAGAGGAUCCCUAAAGAUCUGUUCUAAAUAACUUAUUUGUGAGCCGGAACCAAUAGCAGAACCUAUCUUAAAGGUUUCAGUGUGUUUCUCAAAAACCUCACAUGAAAUGUGAAGCUGAAAUGGUUACACCCUUAGUUACCAACCCAGGACAUGUGUGCAUCACUGACCAGAACCUGUAUUUCCAGCCACUCAGUGGGU